GUUAGGUUGGCCGAGCGGUCUAAGGCACCAGAUUUAAGCUCUAUCUCCCCUUGGGAAACAUGGGUUUGAAUCCCACAUCUGACA
rnacentral:tRNA from 1 species